AUCUAAAUAGCUUAUGCAAAGCAUCACGUUGAAGUUGUGGGGAAGACAUGUAUUGUUUUUAGAUG
rnacentral:tRNA from 1 species